rnacentral:rRNA from 1 species
UACACACGUGCUACAAUGGACAAUACAAAGGGCAGCGAAACCGCGAGGUCAAGCAAAUCCCAUAAAGUUGUUCUCAGUUCGGAUUGUAGUCUGCAACUCGACUACAUGAAGCUGGAAUCGCUAGUAAUCGUAGAUCAGCAUGCUACGGUGAAUACGUUCCCGGGUCUUGUACACACCGCCCGUCACACCACGAGAGUUUGUAACACCCGAAGCCGGUGGAGUAACCUUUUAGGAGCUAGCCGUCGAAGGUGGGACAAAUGAUUGGGGUGAAGUCGUAACAAGGUAGCCGUAUCGGAAGGUGCGGCUGGAUCACCUCCUUU